CAGUUCGGAUUGAAGGCUGAAAUUCGCCUUCAUGAAGCCGGAAUUGCUAGUAAUGGCAGGUCAGCAUACUGCCGUGAAUACGUUCCCGGGCCUUGUACACACCGCCCGUCACACCAUGAGAGUUGGGAAUACCCGAAGCCUGUGAGUUAACAGUAGAGGCAGCAGUCGAAGGUAGAAUCAAUGAUUGGGGUGAAGUCGUAACAAGGUAAC
rnacentral:rRNA from 1 species